GACCCUUCGGGGAGCUUGCACAGGUGCUGCAUGGCUGUCGUCAGCUCGUGUCGUGAGAUGUUCGGUUAAGUCCGCUAACGAGCGCAACCCUCGCUGUGUGUUACAAGUGUCACACGGUACUGCCGGUCUUAAGCCGGAGGAAGGUGGGGAUGACGUCAAGUCAGCAUGGCCUUUAUGUCCUGGGCUACACACACGCUACAAUGGCCAACACAAUAGGUUGCUAAGCCGCGAGGUGGAGCCAAUCCUCAAAGUUGGUCUCAGUUCAGAUUGCAGGCUGCAACCCGCCUGCAUGAAGAUGGAGUUGCUAGUAACCGCAGGUCAGCUAUACUGCGGUGAAUACGUUCCCGGGGCUU
rnacentral:rRNA from 1 species